rnacentral:snRNA from 1 species
GUGCUUGCUUCGGCAGCACAUAUACUAAAAUUGGAACUAUACAGAGAAAAUUAGCAUGGCCCCUGUGCAAGGAUGACACGCAAAUUCGUGAAGUGUUCCAUUUUUAA